CGGCUCUCUGGACUGUAACUGACGCUGAGGCACGAAAGCGUGGGGAGCAAACAGGAUUAGAUACCCUGGUAGUCCACGCUGUAAACGAUGAGUACUAGGGGUCGGGGGUUACCCCCUUCGGUGCCGCAGCUAACGCAUUAAGUACUCCGCCUGGGAAGUACGCUCGCAAGAGGGAAACUCAAAGGAAUUGACGGGGACCCGCACAAGUAGCGGAGCAUGUGGUUUAAUUCGAAGCAACGCGA
rnacentral:rRNA from 1 species